rnacentral:lncRNA from 1 species
AGAAGCUCUGGUUCUUUUUUAAUAAGUACACAUUGUUACAUAUUUUUCUAUUGCUUCAUACUAGAAGGAAUCUGAUAGAUAUUGGAUUGUCAUUAUACAAAAAUAAAAAGGGCAAUGGCAUGUUCUUGAUACCUUCUGUAUGAAGUGUGUACUAUUGUUUUUGUGUCAAUAAUGCUAUGAAUAUAUAAUUAUUUUUUCAAGGGUAGCAUCAAACUCAA